rnacentral:hammerhead_ribozyme from 1 species
AUCCAUCUGAAGAGCCCCAAACAGGACGAAAUGCGCGUCCUGAAU